UUCGAAGUCCCAAAAAUCUUUGAGGACGAUGUAAAGUUUGGUAGGGAAACAAUGAGCAACAUCGCUGAUAUGAUCAAUACAAUUUUUAAUCCCAGAGGUACUGAGAAAAAUAGAGGAGGACAGGGAGUUCUUGCUAUAGGAUGAUCUAUUGUCAGCAACCAAGAUGGAUUUUCUGACGACCACUUUGGAAAUGGAUCUGUGGAAUUUG